rnacentral:rRNA from 2 species
UCCGUAGGUGACCUGCGGAGGGAUCAUUACACAAAUAUGAAGGCGGGCUGGAACCUCUCGGGGUUACAGCCUUGCUGAAUUAUUCACCCUUGUCUUUUGCGUACUUCUUGUUUCCUUGGUGGGUUCGCCCACCACUAGGACAAACAUAAACCUUUUGUAAUUGCAAUCAGCGUCAGUAACAAAUUAAUAAUUACAACUUUCAACAACGGAUCUCUUGGUUCUGGCAUCGAUGAAGAACGCAGCGAAAUGCGAUAAGUAGUGUGAAUUGCAGAAUUCAGUGAAUCAUCGAAUCUUUGAACGCACAUUGCGCCCUUUGGUAUUCCAAAGGGCAUGCCUGUUCGAGCGUCAUUUGUACCCUCAAGCUUUGCUUGGUGUUGGGCGUCUUGUCUCUAGCUUUGCUGGAGACUCGCCUUAAAGUAAUUGGCAGCCGGCCUACUGGUUUCGGAGCGCAGCACAAGUCGCACUCUCUAUCAGCAAAGGUCUAGCAUCCAUUAAGCCUUUUUUUCAACUUUUGACCUCGGAUCAGGUAGGGAUACCCGCUGAACUUAAGCAUAUCAUAAGCCCGGAGGA